rnacentral:rRNA from 1 species
GAUGAACGCUGGCGGCGUGCCUAAUACAUGCAAGUCGAGCGAACAGACGAGGAGCUUGCUCCUCUGACGUUAGCGACGGACGGGUGAGUAACACGUGGAUAACCUACCUAUAAGACUGGGAUAACUUCGGGAAGCCGGAGCUAAUACCGGAUAAUAUAUUGAACCGCAUGGUUCAAUAGUGAAAGACGGUUUUGCUGUCACUUAUAGAUGGAUCCGCGCCGCAUUAGCUAGUUGGUAAGGUAACGGCUUACCAAGGCAACGAUGCGUAGCCGACCUGAGAGGGUGAUCGGCCACACUGGAACUGAGACACGGUCCAGACUCCUACGGGAGGCAGCAGUAGGGAAUCUUCCGCAAUGGGCGAAAGCCUGACGGAGCAACGCCGCGUGAGUGAUGAAGGUCUUCGGAUCGUAAAACUCUGUUAUUAGGGAAGAACAAAUGUGUAAGUAACUAUGCACGUCUUGACGGUACCUAAUCAGAAAGCCACGGCUAACUACGUG